rnacentral:lncRNA from 1 species
CAUUGCCUUCUGUGUAGUACAACAGCAUUAAGAAGAAAAAAAAAUGACAACCCUGAUUUGGUUAUUAGGGAAAGAAGAGUGAAGCUUGGGACUCCACAUGAUGCCCGUGUUUGUGAAUGUUUAUUGAGUGUCAGAAGGAAGAGCCACAUAUUAGGUGCUUGGAAACACCACUAUCGUCAUUAUCAUCACCACCACUGUCACCGUCUCCGACACCAUCAUCACCAUCAUCGUAGUUACCACCACAACCACCGCCACUGUCAUCAUCGUCAUCAUCAUUAUCAUCAUCAUCAUCGUUUGGUGGCACUCAGGGCUGCAUUCGUGUGAGGCAGAUGCUCUGCCACUAAGCUACAUCCCUAGUCCAGGAAUACAAUGUUAAAAAGUUUAUCACAGCUUUUGACUGAAUUACCACAAGUAGGUGCGGCUUAAGGUGUGUACAAGGAGUGACAGAUACUCAUUGGGGCUUUCUUUAUACCCAAGCCAGAUUGCAAUGCUCUGUCUUUCCAAACUUCAAGUCAAAUGGUGGUUCAGGGAUCUGGGAUUAAAAGCAAGAAGUCAAGCAGGUGACACAGUUUGACACAGGCUAUGGGCUGGAGCAGAUGUCCUCACCAGGAACCACAGAGGGACACUUUGAAGGAAUAAAGACUCCUUGUUUCUCUGUGGUGUGGCCUGCAUUCGUCAGACACUUGCAACUUACUGGUGACUGCAUACACCACUGUGUUAAGUCUCAAAGAAAAGAAGAUUUUACUUUUAUUUCUAUUUUAUGACCAGAAACAAACAUCAAGGCAAAGAGAUGACGUGAUGAUUAAAAUGGCUAAGGGUACACAGCUGUCAUGCCCAUGAGCUGCAGGUUUGAAUCUUGUUUCGAAGACUCUAAUCCCUAACUCUGUGGAAACUCUCAUGUCUCCGUCCCAGAUACCUACUGUAUAAAUUGGAGAGAUGAAGGAGGUUAUUGUAGUUGCCUCAAUUUACUGGAGGUCAGUCCUCAAGCUCAGGCCAAGUUUGCCCUCAAACUUCUAAUGAGAAACUUGUUCCAUGAGACCACAAGCUUGUAUGUUAAUAAAGAUCUGCA